GCCCCUCUAGUGAUCUUUGCUGCCGGCAAAAUACAAAACCUCCUCGGUCGGCAGUCAUUCAUGAAACGGAAUUAUGCUUCAGGAAGCCAGAAAAGGAAGAAGAGAAAGGAAGAGGAGGAUAAGAAAAAACAAGAUAGUGGUGCUUUGCUUAAAUUUCUCAGCCCUCAGGCUCUUCCUAAGGAUACCUCCACUGAUGAAGCUACACCAUCAACUUCAUCCUCAACAUCAACAAAUGCAUCACUUCUCAGUGCUGAUGUUUCCUCUAUAGCACAAGGUACCACCACCACAAUCUCUAUAAUUAUAGCUGAUAUCCUGCACAGCCCAGAGUUUAAACUGAUAAGUGUGUGCUGUCAUAUUGUUAGAAAAAAAAACAGUGCAAAUCACUAUGGAAUUCCCACCAAGUGUAAAUACAAGUCACUUUUGCCCAUGGACAUUUCAGAAUUUUUAAUAUACAGUAGUGCCUGUCAAUUUUCUAGGUGUCAGACACUCAGUGAUGCAUUCUGUACCUCGACAGAUGGAUUAUAUUAAUAAAAACUUUUUAAUUUUUUAUUUAUGCACAGU